CCUUAACCUACCCUUGACAUGUCAGGAAGUCCGGAGAGAUCUGGAUGUGCCCGAAAGGGAGCCUGAACACAGGUGCUGCAUGGCUGUCGUCAGCUCGUGUCGUGAGAUGUUGGGUUAAGUCCCGCAACGAGCGCAACCCUUGUCAUUAGUUGCUACGAAAGGGCACUCUAAUGAGACUGCCGGUGACAAACCGGAGGAAGGUGGGGAUGACGUCAAGUCCUCAUGGCCCUUAUGGGUAGGGCUUCACACGUCAUACAAUGGUGCAUACAGAGGGCCGCCAACCCGCGAGGGGGAGCUAAUCCCAGAAAGUGCAUCGUAGUCCGGAUCGCAGUCUGCAACUCGACUGCGUGAAGUUGGAAUCGCUAGUAAUCGCGGAUCAGCAUGUCGCGGUGAAUACGUUCCCGGGUCUUGUACACACCGCCCGUCACACCAUGGGAGCGGGUUUUACCAGAAGUAGGUAGCUUAACCGCAAGGGGGGCGCUUACCACGGUAGGAUUCGUGACUGGGUGAAGUCGUAACAAGGUAAGCGUACGUGU
rnacentral:rRNA from 1 species